CUGCUGCCCGUGGGUCGGCUCCUGCCUGAUCCCCAGGGAGAUUUAGCAAGUCCUCAGAAGAUUCAGCCUCGUAGUUACCGGCACAAGUCACCCAGCUAGUAACUGAACAGCCAGGAACCGCUGUCAGUCAGGAGGCAGGAGCACGGGGGAUCACAGACCUCGCUCGGCUGCGCCGUGUUGCUGGGAACCUCCCGUCAGGUGCAGGGGCGAGCUGAC